ACCAGAUCCUUUCGGUCUUUCAGGGAAGUACCUGAGACAGAAGAGAAUUGAUUUCCAGCUGCCGUAUGACAUCCUGUGGCAGUGGAAACACAACCAGCUCUACAAGAAGCCUGACGUCCCUCUGUACAAGAAGAUCAGAUCCAAUGUGUACGUGGACGUGAAGCCGCUCUCCGGCUACGAAGCCACCACCUGCAGCUGCAAGAGGUCGGAGGACGAGGCCGAGAAGGGCUGCAUUGACGACUGUCUGAACAGGAUGAUCUUUGCCGAGUGCUCCCCCAACACCUGCCCCUGCGGAGACCAGUGUGACAACCAGCGCAUCCAGAGGCACGAGUGGGUGCAGUGCCUGGAGCGCUUCCGGGCUGAAGGCAAGGGCUGGGGGAUCCGCACCAAGGAGUCGCUGCGCUCGGGCCAGUUCAUCAUCGAGUACCUGGGGGAGGUGGUGAGCGAGCAGGAGUUCAGGUAGGGCACAGGUCGAGGGCAGUGGGACAUGCAGCUCAGGGUGUUCAUGGGUGGAGCACCUGCACAGGCAGGGCGCACCUGAGAUUUGUACUGAGGUGGACACAGCUGGACAGGCAGAGCACACCUGAGAUUUGUACUGAGGUGG